UACGUAGGUGGCGAGCGUUGUCCGGAUUUACUGGGCGUAACGAGCGCGCAGGCGGUCGUCCAAGUCGCGUGUGAAAGCCCCCGGCUCAACUGGGGAGGGUCACGCGAUACUGAUCGACUCGAAGGCAGGAGAGGGUAGUGGAAUUCCCGGUGUAGUGGUGAAAUGCGUAGAUAUCGGGAGGAACACCAGUGGCGAAGGCGACUACCUGGCCUGUUCUUGACGCUGAGGCGCGAAAGCUAGGGGAGCAAACGGG
rnacentral:rRNA from 1 species